UUUUUAUAAAACAAAUAUUUAUUUAUUGGAAUAAUACAGAGAAGAUUAGCAUGACCCCUGCACAAGGAUGGCGCUCAAAUUCUUGAAGCAUCCCCUAUUUUU